rnacentral:rRNA from 1 species
GCCCUUGGGGUGCACCAGGCGCGAAAACUUUACAAUGCUGGAAACAGCGAUAGGGGGACUUUGAGUGCCAGGAUACAAUCUUGGCUGUCGUAAUGCCUAAAAAGCAUUGCAUAGCAAGGGCCGGGCAAGACCGGUGCCAGCCGCCGCGGUAACACCGGCGGCUCGAGUGGUAACCGCUAUUAUUGGGUCUAAAGGGUCUGUAGCCGGCUGGAUAAGUCUCUUGGGAAAUCCGACAGCUUAACUGUCGGGCUUUCAGGAGAUACUGUCCGGCUCGAGACCGGGAGAGGUGAGAGGUACUUCAUGGGUAGGGGUGAAAUCUUGUAAUCCUUGAAGGACCACCAGUGGCGAAGGCGUCUCACCAGAACGGAUCUGACGGCAAGGGACGAAAGCUAGGGGCACGAACCGGAUUAGAUACCCGGGUAGUCCUAGCCGUAAACGAUACUCGCUAGGUGUCAGCCACGGUGCGACCGUGGUUGGUGCCGUAGGGAAGCCGUGAAGCGAGCCACCUGGGAAGUACGGCCGCAAGGCUGAAACUUAAAGGAAUUGGCGGGGGAGCAC